AAUUUUUGAUCAUGGAUGAAGAAUACUGGGGGGGGCUUCAAACACGUGCAAUUCAAACGUUCUCCCAAUACUGAGUGACAGACGGGUGAGUAUAGUGAGGGAAUCUGCCUUUUCGUUUGGAAUAACAGAAACCAAACUUGUGCUCCCACCGAAUCUGCCUUUACAGGAAAUUUUUCACAGCCUAAAGACGAGCCCGCUCUUGUUUAUCUAGAUGGUAAGGUAAAACCUUACCACGGUCAUGAUCAAUACCUGUUCUUAGAGGAAGACCAGCCACAUUGGGACUGAGACACGGCCCUAACGCCUACGGGAGGCAGCAAUGGGGAAUCUUGCACAAUGGGCUAAACCCUGACGCCCGAUGCCGCGUGAGUCAUGAGGGCCUUGGCCUGUAAAACUCUUUCGUCAGAGAAGAAAAUGACUGUACCCGAAUAACAAGGUCCGGCUAACUUCCUGCCACCCGCCUCGGU
rnacentral:rRNA from 1 species